rnacentral:antisense_RNA from 1 species
GCCGGCGUCCCUGGGAAGCUGAGCGCCGCGUAGCUUCGCCGGGGGGAGUGGGGUAGGCGCGGUGAGGCCGUGGGCCCCCCACACUUGGCGGACCACAGGGGCCAGAAGCCCUGAAGCCCCGCCAGGGAAGGGCUGCGUCGCUGGCCAGGACCGAGCGCGGUAGAGCCUCAGCUGCUCACGGGGUCGCUGGAGUUGGGGGUGGCCGCAGCAGAAAUUAAAGGUGAAAAGCCUUAGCAGCAGAGGGAAGAGGAAGAUGGAGGCAGAGCGAGUGACCGAACUUGGAAGGGACAGCCGGGCGCAACAGGGCAGGGGGCGUCUGACUGUUGGAAACAUGGCUGACGUCUGGAGGCUGCAGCCAGUGGUCCCUAAGUCAGGUCAAGGACCCACAGAAGACCCCAGCAUGUCUUCACCUGGCCCACAGAAGCCCUGACAUCCAGUUACAACUGCCCCAGCCUAGUGAGCAUUUCGGCACCCACUCCUCAAUUCCUACCCCCAGCCUAACUUCGAAGGGGCGGUGAGCCACAGCAAGCCGGAGGAGAAAGUUGGAAGAGAGAGUGGACAAAAGAAUACCCACAGGCACCUUCCCCCCAGUGGAAUAGCGGAGUUUUAGACAAUCAAGGAUAAUCACCUCUUCCUAUCCCAGUUCAGAAACGAAUGAAAAAGACACAGCAAUAAGAUGGGUGGGUAUCAAAAUAUCAGCUUUGCCACAAAUUAAAAACCUAGCUUGAAGGACAAGGCUUAAAUCUGCAAGCAAGAGGGCAAGCUACUAAAUCACCCGUAAGUCAGACAAACAUAUCCCCCAGCCUCUAGGCCAUGAAACUGCCUCACCAAGCACUAUGCAAUUGAGUGCCCACCAGAAGACACCCCUCCAGUCAACCCACAGACCCCAGAAAGAGUACCCAGAGGAGCCUGAGCACACUCCACCCUAUCUGUUCUCUGAAAUUCAAUCAAAUGAGUCACUCUACUUCUCUGGAAGCAGAAAGAGGCUGGAAGUUUUUCUCCAGCACUCACCUCUCAAGAUUCCUGCCCUACAUGCCAUUCUUAAAAGAAAAUGUGACCAGAUCACUUCUCUGCCUAAUCUUCAACAACGGGUUCUCACAGCUCUCAGAAGAAGGUGACAAGAAUCUCUGACCUCACCUUGCUGGCCUGUUCCCCUCACUUGGCCACACAACCAAGCUGGUACCUCCAAGCUUUCAUCAUGUCCUCUCAAGUACACUGUCUCCAGCUACACCCCUGCACUCCUCUCCGGGAAUUCUGCUUUCUCCUCUACCCAACCAGACCCUGUUCCAUCCUCUGUUUUUUCCUUGCUACCAAUUGCCCACGCCUCAUGCACAUUCUCUGAGAAUUAUGUACAUAAGUACCUGACUCUCCUGGAGGUAAGCUGGGUGGGCUUAGCAGGCAGAGGCCCUGUGUCUUACUUUAUCUCUGCAUCACUGAUGUCUGGCACAUCAAGGACUGCAAGUUUGCUGAGAGAAUGAAUCGCCUUUUAUACAUGGAAAUGUAAGCUCCAAACUGUCUCAGAGCAUAUGCUGGUGGGUGACAAUCUGAGGAGGUCAUGAAUAUAGGAGAAUAUUGAAGAGGUCACACAGGGGAAACAACUUUUCAUUAUGAAAAACUGGGAGACUUUGACAUUUAAAUGGCUUAUCUGCAUGAUUAAAUUAAUCACAUUUCCAACAGUGCAUCAAGCAUCUGAGAAUAACAUUAUUUUGAGUAAAAACAGAAACUCUUCGGGAGAGACCCCCUCCCCACAGGUCAGGCUGCUCAAAUGUCCACCAUGUCUAGCAGCGCAGAGAGAUGGAGCUCAGAGGCAACUUCCUCUUCCCUUGAACUCCGGAUCAGCCUUUCCAGGUGCUUUAGUCGUUCGCCUAGACACGUUCCUGUCGCCUCUGACAGCUGCAGUUGCUCCCUCAUGAUGUCACUCUAUUUGAAUAAAAAAGAAACUGAACA